rnacentral:lncRNA from 1 species
UUCGUACGAAGUUUGUUCUGAAAUGGUGUGGUUGGUGUAUUGCAUAGUUCUUCAGAUUGGAUUUCACUCAUAACCUACCAAAUGAUUCCUCCCACCAUGUUAUGAUUUUCCUGAAUUGUGGACUCAAUGCGAUAUCGAUUAGUUUAAGAAAUUGGACAAUUUGUGUUCGAAAGAAGUUCGUUAUGAAAUGGUGUGUUUCAUGUUUUGCAUAGUGUUGGUGAUAGGAUUUCACUCAAAACCGAC